GAUCCUUGGCUCAGGAUGAACGCUGACAGAAUGCUUAACACAUGCAAGUCUACUUGAUCCUUCGGGUGAUGGUGGCGGACGGGUGAGUAACGCGUAAAGAACUUGCCCUGCAGUCUGGGACAACAUUUGGAAACGAAUGCUAAUACCGGAUAUUAUGUGAGUUUCGCAUGAAAUUCAUAUGAAAGCUAUAUGCGCUGCAGGAGAGCUUUGCGUCCUAUUAG
rnacentral:rRNA from 1 species